rnacentral:RNase_P_RNA from 1 species
CGAGUCGGCCAGGCAAUCGCUCGCGUGCAUGCACGCGGGAGGAAAGUCCGGGCUCCGGCGGGCAGGGUGCCAGGUAACGCCUGGGAGGCGCGAGCCUACGGAAAGUGCCACAGAAAAUAACCGCCUAAGGGUCGCAAGACCCCGGCAAGGGUGAAAAGGUGCGGUAAGAGCGCACCGCGCGGGUGGCAACACUUCGCGGCUUAGGUAAACCCCACCCGGAGCAAGACCAAAUAGGGAAGCAGCAUUCCGCAAGGAAGGCACCGUCGCCCCGCGGGCUUCCGGGUAGGUCGCUUGAGGUCGUUGGUGACAACGAUCCCAGAGGAAUGAUUGUCCACGACAGAACCCGGCUUAUCGGCCGACUCGCUCU